UACGGAGGGUGCAAGCGUUAUCCGGAUUCACUGGGUUUAAAGGGUGCGUAGGCGGAUAUGUAAGUCCGUGGUGAAAUCUCUGGGCUUAACCCGGAAACUGCCAUGGAUACUAUGUGUCUUGAAUGUUGUUGAGGUGAGCGGAAUAUGUCAUGUAGCGGUGAAAUGCUUAGAUAUGACAUAGAACACCAAUUGCGAAGGCAGCUCACUAAGCAAAUAUUGACGCUGAGGCACGAAAGCGUGGGGAUCAAA
rnacentral:rRNA from 1 species